GAGUGAAGCGGGAUGAGCUCAAGCUUAAAAUCUCCGYACAAGUUUUGUAUGGCGAAUUGUAGUCUAUAGAGGCGUGGUCAGUGUGGGCGCUUGGGGCAAGUUCCUUGGAAGAGGACAGCAUGGAGGGUGAUACUCCCGUUCAUCCCUGAGUGGCUCGUGCGUACGGCCCGUUUUCUUUGAGUCGCGUUGUUUGAGAAUGCAGCGCAAAGUAGGUGGUAAAUUCCAUCUAAAGCUAAAUAUUGGUGCGAGACCGAUAGCGAACAAGUACCGUGAGGGAAAGAUGAAAAGAACUUUGAAAAGAGAGUUAAAGAGUACCUGAAACUGCUGAAAGGGAACCGAAUCGUUUCCAGUGUCUAUAAUCCGUGGCAUAUUACAUUGGCGAGUGUGUGCGUGCGUGUGCUAUGGCAGCGGCUUUUGGCUGCGCUUGGCGUGUGUGCAGUGUGUGCUUGCUGGUGCCCUGUGUUGCGGUGGGACGUCAAGGUCAGUUCGUAUGCUGCGGGAAAUGGCUGCCGAGGAGGUAGGGCUUACGCUUGCGUUUGUCUAUUAUAUCUUGGUGGACGAGUCGUCGUGGUUGGGACUGAGGUGCCUACAAUGUGCUUGUGAGUGGGUCUGCGUCUCCGUGUGUGCUGUGUGCGGAUAGCUUGCUAUGCGUGUGUGGUUAUGUGUGGAUUGAUGCGGGUUUUAACUUGUUGCCG
rnacentral:rRNA from 1 species